UCCAGUGUGCACCCAGUGAGCGUAAGCUUGUGGUGUGGAGCUGGAGAGGAGAGGCAAGAGUGGAAGAGAUGGGCUCACUUCUAUGAAUCACAACCUGCAGGCAAGCAUCCCGGACACCUUGGAGGACAAAAUAAUUUGAGGGUUUUUUUUCCCUUUUUUUUUAAAGGGAGGAAUCUGCUCAUGUUUGAGUCUGCAGCUGCCAACACCAGCAACGAGGAGCGAGAUCGUGCGACCUGCUGUGUGCAAAUCUGCACUGAUAGAAUGCAUCAGAAUAAUUACGUACCUGAACUAGUAGCUGAAAAAAACACUUUGGAACCUCAGUUUGGGCAUGCUCUGCGCCUGCUUGCAGAAGAAAUUGAAAAGCACGAAGGUGAUGAACUGCAAAAAGAUGGUAUCAUGAAGAAAUACCUUGAUAUUAUCAGCAAUAAAAACAUAAAGCUGUCGGAAAGAGUUCUCAUCCCAGUGCAACAGUAUCCAAAGUUUAAUUUUGUCGGAAAGCUACUGGGGCCUCGGGGAAAUUCCAUGAAAAGGCUACAAGAAGAAACAGGAGUCAAGAUGUCCAUCCUCGGAAAAGGGUCCAUGAGGGAUAAAGCAAAGGAAGAAGAAUUAAGGAACAGUGGCGAGGCCAAAUACGCACAUCUGAGUCACGAUCUUCAUGUUUUAAUUGAAGUCUUUGCUCCACCGGGUGAAGCCUAUUCCCGCAUGAGCCACGCUUUGGAGGAGAUUAAAAAAUUCCUUGUUCCAGACUACAAUGACGAGAUCAGACAGGAGCAACUACGAGAGCUUUCACUAUUAAACGGUUCUGAUGAGUCCAACAGAGGCAGGAAUGCACAAGGAAGGAGCAUUAGGACAACCACCACAGUAUCCACCAGGGCCCGCAGGAACACAGGAAGGAGCACAGUAACACCUCGGGGGACGGCUGCCGCGACACACAGCAAGCCCACUGCAUCUGUUUUAACGAGGGAAGCUCAAACUCCGAGAGCCAGGGGAGCGGCAGUAACAGCAAUUGGAGGGUACCGACCUCCACUGUUAGCCGGCACACAUGACUCAUACGACGACUAUGGUUACGAUGAUGGAUAUGGCGGAGAAUAUGAUGAUGACAGCUACGAUGCCUAUGACGAAAACUACAGCAAUCACUCAAAGAGCAUCUCCGAAUAUUAUGAAUAUGGGCAAGGAACAAAUGAUGACUCCUACAACAACUAUGAAGAGGAGUGGCCCACUUCCCGUCCCAGUCUCAAAGCUCCACUUCUACAGCUGACAAGAGGUGGAUACAGAAAACAUCCCUAUAGUCGAUACUGAAGGUAUAAAAGCACUGCAGUUGUCAAGACGUACGGGUCAUAAAACAGGACAAUGUAGAUUGCAGAAGCUGCUGCAAGACGAUGGGUUCAGCGCUCAUAUUUGGAAAAGAGAGCAGUGUGAAAUACUUGAGUCUAAGGUGCCUAAAGACUUCUCGGCUGUCAUCACAUUUCUUUAUCCUUCAGUCCACACAAAGAGCCACUUUGUGGGUUUUUUUCCAUUACACAGUCCUCAACGUAGAAUGCAGCUUGGAAGAAGUGGACGGCGCUUUUCUGUUGACACAAACAUUUUUUGGUUUGCAUAUAUUUGAGAUGGCAAUGACUGAGUUUGACUGACAGUGACUUGUCAAGCGUGAGUGAAGUAUUCAAAUUGUGGUCAGUGGACUAUUGGUGGUUCCUGGGGAACUGUACAAGGUCCACAAGGAACAUGAAUUUGAAUUGUGUGAUACCUUCAACUUUCAAAUAAUAUACAGUAACUCUUUAACAUUUUAGUAUCGUUAAUUAACAUCUUAGUGAAAAUAAGGAAGCGACUGCUGUUACAAGCUUAACUGACAGUACAAUAUAUGUUGAAUUAUUGGUUGGUGACUUUUUUGUUAUAUCUAUCAUUGACCCUUGUUUUCCCUUGGCUAAUCGUCGCCGAUACCUUUGUGAAUUGGUGUUUACACAAAAAAAGUCACAGAGAAAGCAACAAAUGUUAAUAUUUUCGAUUUUUUUAAAAACAUUUUCAGGAGGGUUGUCUUCAGAAUAAUAACCCUGAAAAUUCUAUUCCAAUCCAACCCAAUUUUCAGACUGCAUUCCACUAUAGACAUGAAGAAGAAUAUUAAUUAUUUUCAGUGAAUAAUGAAUCAAACUUACUAGACAGAAUUCAGGAACCAAAGACAACAUUUAAUUUGGUAACACAAUGUGCAAUUAUUUGUUAGCUCAAUAUUGCAUACCAACAAUUCCAAAUGAGCCAGAACUUGAAUUUAGUUUUGGUUUUCAUGUCAACGCUUCAAAUGAUUAUAUUCAGCCACAAACAGGCAAUGUAAGGGCAACGUUUUAACAUUUAAUAUUAAUUUAGCCACUUUUUUUUUUUAGCUACUUUGUCAUUCAUCUAUGAGAAGGAUCUCCAUGUUUAAUUAAAAUACCACGUCUGUGUCUUUUAGUCACGUAAUAUCCUGCUCAGUCGUUGGAUGGUUUGUAUUGUAGCGCUGGCUCGACAGUGACACAGAAGUAGAAUGUCUGAAAUAUUAAUGUGGACAAGGUUACAAAAUAUCCGUUUGCAACAUUAUGCAGCAGCACGAUGAUACCACCUGCUUAUAUUCUUAAAUUGGCUGAGAAAGCAGGGGAGGUUUUCACACGCAACAUGCUGUUACUUGGUUACUUGCGAAUAAUGUAUGCAACCGGCGCGUUUUAACAAUAAAUGAUGGCGAUAAUGUGGCAUUUCCUCAAAUAAACAGGUAUUUUAUCCUAAUAAGAGACACAAUGAUUGUUGCAAUAUAGCAAGAUGAGAUAGCGAGCGAGGGAGGUCAUUUUCUUUCUAACCGGAUCUGAAGGACAAGUUGAUUGUCUCUGGCUCUCUCGGCCGCCUCUCAAUCAAGAGCAUCACGGAAGAUGUCAAAUGUGUGUUGACACAUUGUAACUGCAGGAUCCAUAAAGGCAUGCAGUGGUUUGAGGGGAAUCAGCAACUGGGACUUAAUUUCAGAAUAUUGCAGCUCAGAGGCUUGCUGUGUGUACCUAUCGUGCACAAACACCACAAGAAAGGUCACACUUUUUUUAAUCACUUAAUGCGCGCAAGAACUUCCUUUUUUUAAUUUUUUUUUACAAAGACAGACAAACAGAAAUGCACUCGUAUGUCAUAUUUAAAAAAAAUAUAUAAACUUUGGU